UGGCGUCUGUGAUGUUCCGCAAUUACCUACAUUGUUUGAUCCUCAUGAAAGCAGCACUGGCUGAGACGCCU
ensembl:snoRNA SNORD34 Small nucleolar RNA SNORD34